GUCACAGACUGGUUUGCUGCACAUCCCAGGAUGUCAGUACGAUUUCUGCCUCCAUACAUUUUCUCUGCAUGGAGGUGGAAGGUUUAUGACCACCAUCGACAUGACCAGAUGUCCUUACUGGAUGCAAUGAAUGCAGGGUGUGGAGACACUUCUCCUGAGACUGCCAGGGUGUGGAGACACUUCUCCUGAGACUGCCAGGGUGUAGAGACACUUCUCCUGAGACUGCAAGGGUGUGGAGAGACUUCUCCUGGAGACAGCCAGAGUGUGGAGACACUUCUCCUGAGACUGCAAGGGUGUGGAGAGACUUCUCCUGAGACUGCAAGGGUGUGGAGAGACUUCUCCUGAAGACAGCCAGGGUGUGGAGACACUUCUCCUGAGACUGCAAGGGUGUGGAGAGACUUCUCCUGAAGACAGCCAGGGUGUGGAGACACUUCUCCCGAGACUGCAAGGGUGUGGAGAGACUUCUCCUGAGACUGCCAGGGUGUGGAGACAAUUCUCCUGAGACUGCAAGGGUGUGGAGAGACUUCUCCUGAGACUGCAAGGGUGUGGAGAGACUUCUCCUGAGACUGCAAGGGUGUGGAGACACUUCUCCUGAGACUGCCAGGGUGUGGAGACACUUCUCCUGAGACUGCAAGGGUGUGGAGAGACUUCUCCUGAAGACUGUCAGGGUGUGGAGACACUUCUCCUGAGACUGCCAGGGUGUGGAGACACUUCUCCUGAGACUGCAAGGGUGUGGAGAGACUUCUCCUGAGACUGCAAGGGUGUGGAGACACUUCUCCUGAGACUGCAAGGGUGUGGAGACACUUCUCCUGAGACUGCAAGGGUGUGGAGACACUUCUCCUGAAGACUGCCAGGGUGUGGAGACACUUCUCCUGAGACUGCAAGGGUGUGGAGAGACUUAUCCUGAGACUGCAAGGGUGUGGAGACACUUCUCCUGAGACUGCCAGGGUGUGGAGACACUUCUCCUGAAGACUGCCAGGGUGUAGAGACACUUCUCCUGAGACUGCCAGGGUGUGGAGACACUUCUCCUGAAGACUGCCAGGGUGUAGAGACACUUCUCCUGAGACUGCCAGGGUGUGGAGACACUUCUCCUGAAGACUGCCAGGGUGUAGAGACACUUCUCCUGAGAUGCCAGGGUGUGGAGACACUUCUCCUGAGACUGCAAGGGUGUGGAGAGACUUCUCCUGAAGACUGCCAGGGUGUGGAGAGACUUCUCCUGAAGACUGCCAGGGUGUAGAGACACUUCUCCUGAGACUGCCAGGGUGUAGAAACACUUCUCCUGAGACUGCCAGGGUGUGGAGACACUUCUCCUGAAGACUGCCAGGGUGUAGAGACACUUCUCCUGAGACUCCCAGGGUAUGGAGACACUUCUCCUGAAGACUGCCAGGGUGUAGAGACACUUCUCCUGAGACUCCAAGGGUAUGGAGACACUUCUCCUGAAGACUGCCAGGGUGUAGAGACACUUCUCCUGAGACUCCCAGGGUGUGGAGACACUUCUCCUGAAGACUGCCAGGGUGUAGAGACACUUCUCCUGAAGACUCCCAGGGUAUGGAGACACUUCUCCUGAAGACUGCCAGGGUGUGGAGAGACUUCUCCUGAAGACUGCCAGGGUGUAGAGACACUUCUCCUGAAGACUGCCAGGGUGUGGAGAGACUUCUCCUGAAGACUGCCAGGGUGUAGAGACACUUCUCCUGAGACUGCCAGGGUGUGGAGACACUUCUCCUGAAGACUCUCAGGGUGUGGAGACACUUCUCCUGAAGACUGCCAGGGUUGGAUUAGACAUUACAUGUUGAUGAGAACUAGAAACCUCACAGUACUGUACAGUAUGAGUGAUUAUACUAUACAUGUUGAUGAGAACUAGAACCCUCACAGUACUGUACAGUAUGAGUGAUUUAUACUAUACAUGUUGAUGAGAACUAGAACCCUCACAGUACUGUACAGUAUGAGUGAUUUAUACUAUACAUGUUGAUGAGAACUAGAACCCUCACAGUACUGUACAGUAUGAGUGAUUUAUACUAUACAUGUAGAUGAUAACUAGAACCCUCACAGUACUGUACACUAUGAGUGAUUUAUACUAUACAUGUUGAUGGUUUUAUUGCAGCACUGGAAUUUUAGGAAUUUGUUUUUUGUUUCAACUUUUCAUUUUUUUACAAGUCAAUUACUAUAUGCGAAGAUAUAGAAAAAAUACAGGCUAUUGAAGCAAAUGGCUUUUCUUUCUGAUUCAUUCUUGUUACAUAUACAUUACUUUAGUACAGUCAAUAAAGUGAAAAGGUGUUAUUCUUAUUCUAUAA
ensembl:lncRNA